rnacentral:rRNA from 1 species
AUUGAACGCUGGCGGCAGGCCUAACACAUGCAAGUCGAGCGGAUGAAGGGAGCUUGCUCCUGGAUUCAGCGGCGGACGGGUGAGUAAUGCCUAGGAAUCUGCCUGGUAGUGGGGGAUAACGUCCGGAAACGGGCGCUAAUACCGCAUACGUCCUGAGGGAGAAAGUGGGGGAUCUUCGGACCUCACGCUAUCAGAUGAGCCUAGGUCGGAUUAGCUAGUUGGUGGGGUAAAGGCCUACCAAGGCGACGAUCCGUAACUGGUCUGAGAGGAUGAUCAGUCACACUGGAACUGAGAUACGGUCCAGACUCCUACGGGAGGCAGCAGUGGGGAAUAUUGGACAAUGGGCGAAAGCCUGAUCCAGCCAUGCCGCGUGUGUGAAGAAGGUCUUCGGAUUGUAAAGCACUUUAAGUUGGGAGGAAGGGCAGUAAGUUAAUACCUUGCUGUUUUGACGUUACCAACAGAAUAAGCACCGGCUAACUUCGUG